rnacentral:rRNA from 1 species
GCUGCCUUACCUGCAAGUCGAACGGUAACAGGUCUUCGGACGCUGACGAGUGGCGAACGGGUGAGUAAUACAUCGGAACGUGCCCAGUCGUGGGGGAUAACUACUCGAAAGAGUAGCUAAUACCGCAUACGAUCUGAGGAUGAAAGCGGGGGACCUUCGGGCCUCGCGCGAUUGGAGCGGCCGAUGGCAGAUUAGGUAGUUGGUGGGAUAAAAGCUUACCAAGCCGACGAUCUGUAGCUGGUCUGAGAGGACGACCAGCCACACUGGGACUGAGACACGGCCCAGACUCCUACGGGAGGCAGCAGUGGGGAAUUUUGGACAAUGGGCGAAAGCCUGAUCCAGCAAUGCCGCGUGCAGGAUGAAGGCCUUCGGGUUGUAAACUGCUUUUGUACGGAACGAAAAAGCUUCUCCUAAUACGAGAGGCCCAUGACGGUACCGUAAGAAUAAGCACCGGCUAACUACGUGCCAGCAGCCGCGGUAAUACGCAGGGUGCGAGCGUUAAUCGGAAUUACUGGGCGUAAAGCGUGCGCAGGCGGUUAUGUAAGACAGAUGUGAAAUCCCCGGGCUCAACCUGGGAACUGCAUUUGUGACUGCAUGGCUAGAGUACGGUAGAGGGGGGGAAUUCCGCCGUGUAGCAGUGAAAUGCGUAGAUAUGCGGAGGAACA